GCUGAGACAGGAGAAUCGCUUGAACCUGGGAGACAGAGGUUGCAGUGAGCCAAGGGCUCAUAUGAUUAUGUCUGAGGCAUUCGAACCAGAGCGACUCCAUCUUGAGUUAGGACUAGGAAAAAUGAGGCUGGGACUUGCUGCGACUCCAUCUUGAGUGAGGACUAGGAAAAAUGAGGCUGGGACUUGCUGCGACUCCAUCUUGAGUGAGGACUAGGGAAAAUGAG
rnacentral:lncRNA from 1 species